GCCAGCAGGUCAUAUCACCCUGCAACUCAGAACUGGCAAUCCACUGAAGCUAAGCAGGUGUGAGCCUGGUUAGUACCUGAAUGGGAGACUUCCUGGGAAAAGCUAAGCUUACUGCUGGAA
rnacentral:rRNA from 1 species